rnacentral:rRNA from 1 species
GCUUGCUGGGUGGAUCAGUGGCGAACGGGUGAGUAACACGUGAGCAACCUGCCCCUGACUCUGGGAUAAGCGCUGGAAACGGCGUCUAAUACUGGAUACGAGUAGCGACCGCAUGGUCAGUUACUGGAAAGAUUUAUUGGUUGGGGAUGGGCUCGCGGCCUAUCAGCUUGUUGGUGAGGUAAUGGCUCACCAAGGCGUCGACGGGUAGCCGGCCUGAGAGGGUGACCGGCCACACUGGGACUGAGACACGGCCCAGACUCCUACGGGAGGCAGCAGUGGGGAAUAUUGCACAAUGGGCGCAAGCCUGAUGCAGCAACGCCGCGUGAGGGAUGACGGCCUUCGGGUUGUAAACCUCUUUUAGCAGGGAAGAAGCGAAAGUGACGGUACCUGCAGAAAAAGCGCCGGCUAACUACGUGCCAGCAGCCGCGGUAAUACGUAGGGCGCAAGCGUUAUCCGGAAUUAUUGGGCGUAAAGAGCUCGUAGGCGGUUUGUCGCGUCUGCUGUGAAAUCCGGAGGCUCAACCUCCGGCCUGCAGUGGGUACGGGCAGACUAGAGUGCGGUAGGGGAGAUUGGAAUUCCUGGUGUAGCGGUGGAAUGCGCAGAUAUCAGGAGGAACACCGAUGGCGAAGGCAGAUCUCUGGGCCGUAACUGACGCUGAGGAGCGAAAGGGUGGGGAGCAAACAGGCUUAGAUACCCUGGUAGUCCACCCCGUAAACGUUGGGAACUAGUUGUGGGGUCCAUUCCACGGAUUCCGUGACGCAGCUAACGCAUUAAGUUCCCCGCCUGGGGAGUACGGCCGCAAGGCUAAAACUCAAAGGAAUUGACGGGGACCCGCACAAGCGGCGGAGCAUGCGGAUUAAUUCGAUGCAACGCGAAGAACCUUACCAAGGCUUGACAUAUACGAGAACGGGCCAGAAAUGGUCAACUCUUUGGACACUCGUAAACAGGUGGGUGCAUGGUUGUC